rnacentral:lncRNA from 1 species
CCAAGUCUGUCCAAGUGACACCAUUAUUUUAUCUUUUCUGAUGGAUCAAUCCACUGAGUGUUUCCCGCACGCAUAAAUGCUGCACCGGCUUCUCAAAUAAGCUAAUAAGUUUCAAAAUUGGCAGCCCAUCCCACACGUCACGUUGCCUUUUAAAAGCCACACAACCAUAUUUGUACAAAUUAAAUGACAAAGUCAAAAGAAUUUUCCACAUAAAAGAUUGUAGGCCAAAGAAAAAUCAAAUCAUGAUAUAAGUCAGUGUUCC